AUUGAACGCUGGCGGCAGGCCUAACACAUGCAAGUCGAACGAGUGGCGGACGGGUGAGUAAGGGCUGUGAACCUGCCCGAUGGAGGGGGAUAACUACUGGAAACGGUAGCUAAUACCGCAUACCAUCGGAUGGGGCCAGAGGGGAUUAGCUAGUGGGUGGGGUAACGGCUCACCUAGGCGACGAUCCCUAGCUGGUCUGAGAGGGUGACCAGCCACACUGGAACUGAGACACGGUCCAGACUCCUACGGGAGGCAGCAGUGGGGAAUAUUGCACAAUGGGCGAAAGCCUGACGCAGCAAGGCCGCGUGUAUGAAGAAGGCCUUCGGGUUGAAAAGUACUUUCAGCGAGGAGGCGUUACUCGCAGAAGAAGCAUCGGCUAACUCCGUGCCAGCCGCCGCGGUAAUAC
rnacentral:rRNA from 1 species